rnacentral:rRNA from 1 species
GAUCAUGGCUCAGGAUGAACGGCUGGCGGCGUGCUUAACACAUGCAAGUCGAACGAAGAUGCCGGAGUGCUUGCACUUUGGCAGACUGAGUGGCGGACGGGUGAGUAACGCGUGGGUAACCUGCCAUAUACAGGGGGAUAACAGUUGGAAACGACUGCUAAUACCGCAUAAGCGCACGGUAUCGCAUGAUACAGUGUGAAAAACUCCGGUGGUACAAGAUGGACCCGCGUCUGAUUAGCUGGUUGGUGAGGUAACGGCCCACCAAGGCGACGAUCAGUAGCCGGCCUGAGAGGGUGAACGGCCACAUUGGGACUGAGACACGGCCCAAACUCCUACGGGAGGCAGCAGUGGGGAAUAUUGCACAAUGGGCGAAAGCCUGAUGCAGCAACGCCGCGUGAGUGAAGAAGUAUCUCGGUAUGUAAAACUCUAUCAGCAGGGAAGAAAAUGACGGUACCUGACUAAGAAGCCCCGGCUAACUACGUG